rnacentral:rRNA from 1 species
GACGAACGCUGGCGGCGUGCUUAACACAUGCAAGUCGAACGGAAAGGCCCUGCUUUUGUGGGGUGCUCGAGUGGCGAACGGGUGAGUAACACGUGAGUAACCUGCCCUUGACUUUGGGAUAACUUCAGGAAACUGGGGCUAAUACCGGAUAGGAGCUCCUGCUGCAUGGUGGGGGUUGGAACGUUUCGGCGGUUGGGGAUGGACUCGCGGCUUAUCAGCUUGUUGGUGGGGUAGUGGCUUACCAAGGCUUUGACGGGUAGCCGGCCUGUGAGGGUGACCGGCCACAUGGGGACUAAGAUACGGCCCAGACGCCUACGGUAGGCAGCGGUGGGAAAUAUUGCACAGUGGGCGGAAGCCUGAUGCAGCAACGCCGCGUGCGGGAUGACGGCCUUCGGGUUGUAAACCGCUUUCGCCUGUGACGAAGCGUGAGUGACGGUAAUGGGUAAAGAAGCACCGGCUAACUACGUG